ACUCCAAUGAGGUGCCCUGUCUCCUAGGUAGAGAAAGGCCCUGUUGAGUUCUGCUUUGCAGUGCCUACGUAGUGCGGGGUUCCUGCAAGGUUUCUUUCCUAAAGAAUCCUGUUGGACACACAUUCUCAGGAGAAGGAAUUUGAAAACCUUUUCAAGAAAACUGGGAUGCUCAUUAAGAAGAUCCCUAAUUAGAAGACAAGACUUCCAACGGCAAUACGAAGAGAAUCCAAGUCCGAGAUAUUUGAAAAGCGUCUCCACGGGUAGAAGUCAUCAUAGGCACUUUGAGGGGGGCCUCGAUGGAGAAGUCCAGGGCUACCGUGUCCCUGCCCCACACAAGCACCCUGCACCCUCCUGGGACAGAAGACACAAGUUGCUCUGUCACAGCGUGUCCUGUCUUCAAAGCUGUGACAGGAAUUAAAGGGAUGGCAUUAAAAAUAA